rnacentral:lncRNA from 1 species
UCAUGGCGGUUGAAAGUUGAAACAAGUGGGAGUCGAACUCGACUCGGACGAGCAGUGGAGAAAUCCCAUACAAGGAGCCGUGGCCGGAAUCGGAGUGGAUUGUCGGUGGCGGGGCCGUGGCGGUUUCGGGAAUCGAUUGACUUUGAGAAACAAAAUUUUUGCCGGUUUUCAUAUAUUUGUUCGUCUGUAAUACUCCCUCCAUUCUAGUGUGUUAGGCCUAUCUCCAAAAUCUAUUUGUUCCACUUUAACUAUGGAUUAAGGCCUGUAAACAUUAAAUGUCAUUUAAUUAGCAC